AUGCAGUGGGCCUUAUCCCUGCUUCUGGCUUUCCUGCUUCCUGCCAGUCAGAUAUCUUCCAAUUUUGAAGGGAGAACAAUGUCAAUCACCAAGAAAACCGGGUCAUCCAUUAUUAUCACUUGUGAUAUUCAACAAAGUACCAGCAAGUACAUCCACUGGUACCUCUUCCAGGAGGGCAGGACCCCACGAUGCAUUCUAUACUAUGACUUAGUUAACUCCAAGAUGGCAUUGGAGUCAGGAUUCAGUCCAGAGAAAUACCAUGCUUAUGCAAGCACAGGGAAGAACUCUAGGUUUAUACUCUAAAAUCUAGAAGAAACUGACUCUGGUGUGUACUACUGUGCCACCUGGCUCAGGCACAGUGACUCUGAUCUGCCCUAUGCCACAGAGAAAACCUUGUCUGUGGCUGCUCCUGGUACACAAGACAGAGCAGCCCCUGUCUCACUUCCUGCCCCAACUUCACUGAAUUCUGAACAAAGAAAAACCCUGGGUUCAUGGCCUAACCACCCCUGUUCCAUCCCACUCUCCUGUGAGCAGCUGCACCCUGCCCCCACCCUACCCCUGGGAGUCUCCUAAAGACUCAGCUGCCUUCCCCAGGCCUUAGGCCAGCACUCUGGCAGACAGCAUGGUCCUUUCAGCUCUUGUAG